GAAAUGCGAUACGUAAUGUGAAUUGCAGAAUUCAGUGAAUCAUCGAAUCUUUGAACGCAUAUUGCACUCUCUGGUAUCCCGGAGAGUAUGCCUGUUUCAGUAUCAUUGGUAACCUCAAGCCUUCCCGGAUUUUGGAGGGUGGGUUUGGAUCUGAGCUUUGCCGAGGGGACUCGGCUGGCUUGAAACGCAGCCACGGCAGGAACCGGGAUCAAAAAGCGUAACUAGUUGGCUCAUCUGUUGGUCAUCUUUUCGCAAAAAAGGGCCCGGAACCUGUGGGAUUUUGCAGGAAAAUGGAUCGGAGAGGAGAGAUCCUUUCCGGAAACUUGAUCUGAAAUCAGGUAGGACUACCCGCUGAACUUAA
rnacentral:misc_RNA from 1 species